rnacentral:lncRNA from 1 species
UUAGGUACAGGCAGGACCUGGGACUCUUCCUACCUGCUGUGACAGCUGAGCUCCUCUUUAGCUGAUGGCAUGCUGAGGCCUGUGCACUGCGGAGGUGAUUUCUCAUUCCCUAAGAGAAGUAUAAAAAUAAGAAAGCCUUUGGGAGGCCGAGGCAGAUGGAUCACAAGGUCAGGAGAUCGAGACCGUCCUGGCUAACACGGUGAAAUCCCAUCUCUACUAAAAAUACAAAAAAUUAGCCGGGUGUGGUGGUGGGCGGCUGUAGUCCCAGCUACUCGUGAGCCUGAGGCAGAGAAUGGCGUGAACCCAGGAGAUGGAGCUUGCAGUGAGCUGAGAUUGGGCCACUGCACUCCAGCCUGGGCGACAGAACGAGACUCCGUCUCAAAAAAUACAUAAAUAAAUAAGAAAGCAAUAUUAAUUUACUGAUUUCCUAUCCCCUCACUUCCUGCUUAGGAUCUAAGCUUUACUGAAGAGAGAUCAUCGUAUUUUUUCAUUCAUUAGAUAUCACCCUUAUUACUUCACGUGAAGCCUCUGCCUGGUUUAUUUAUGUAUUUAUGAAUGCAAGGAUAUAUGCAUUUUAAUUAUUUUCUCUGUCAUCCCACGUCCCCACACCCAUUCCACUCUUCCACAGACAUCCAAUUCACUUUAUUUCAUUUCUGUCCUUCAAAUUAUCUUUCAUACAUUCAUUGUGGUAUAUAUAUGUCCUUUAAAAACAUGUAUUUCAUGGGGUAUGUGAUUUUUAAAAUUUACCAAGAUUGAUUCAUGCUUUAAUUUUCACUUAAUUUCUUAGUCUUUUUUCUGGUUACUACUUUUUAAAGAUCUAGCCAUGUUUCUGUAUGUACAUCUAACUCAUGAUGUCUGACACCAAAAAGAUUGGCAUUUGAAGCACAAAUGUCAUUUUCUUCAUGCAUUUCCCUGAAUGCUGGACAUGGGUGUCCCCUAACUCUGCUAUCACAGACAACACUGUUGUAAAACCCAGACCCACCUUUCUUUCUGGAACUAGGUGUGAGUUGUGCUGGCAUAUGCAUUGCAGGGUGACUUCUCUGUGAUUGGCCAGGCAUCUGUUCUGAUUGGUUGUUGCAUGGGAAACUAAUUAUUAAGUGCUUUGACCAUCAAUCUCCCUGCACUUACCUAAGGUCACCAAGACCUGCUGUUUCUGAGAGCAGAAGGAGUGUUCCUGUUUGUCCACGUCUUCUCAGUACUUAAUAACAUUAAGUUUGACUAUCUUUGUCUUUUCUGAUUGCCAGUGAAAUAUACGAAUUAGCCAAUUAGAUUUUGCCUUUUGUCAAUUUCCUACUCCUUUUUUUUUUCCUUCUUUUUCUGAUCUCUGAAUCUCUCAGGUGUUUUUGACACUUACCUCUUGUUUUAGACAUUUGCACAUAAGUUUUGAUAUUAGGGGCCUUGCUGAAAAUAUCUUCCCCCUCCCCCAAGAUCUUAACAUAUUCAUAUAUUUAUUUUCUAUUAGCUUCAUAAAUGUGUCUUUUAAAUUUGCAUUUUUAAUCUAUUUGAACUUUAUGUUUGCUUAGUUGGGAAGUAGGGAUGCUUAUUUUUUCUCUUUCCCAAUAUGAUUUACUAAGUAAUUCACCUGUCAGCCCUUUACUAAUGAUGAUAUUUCUAUCAUCUAUCAUACAAUUUCCAAAGGUCUAUUUUUAAUUUCUGUCCUUUUUUAUUUAUUAUUUUGUCAUUAUCACAAUACCUUCGUUUGUAUUAUUUAGUAUGCAUUUAUGGUAAUGGACCAAGGGAAGACCUUUGUAUGUAGUAAGUUGAAUCUGCAGUUCAUUUUCGUUUUCAUUUUAAAAUUUGUCUUAGCUAUUUGCUGAGCUCCCAAAUGCUAUUGUUUUUAUUGGAAAUUAAUUGAACUUAUAUAUUAAUUAUCAAAGAUUUGACAAAGUUUUAAUAUUUAAUCACCCUAUCCACGCACAAUGGUAUGUACAACCAUUUAGAAGGACUUCUUCAUGUCCUGUAAUAGAAUCUAAAUUUUUCUCAAUAUUUUUGCAGUCUUUGGUUAAUCCUUAGGUACUUUAUGAAUUUUGUUUCUGAAUGGCAAAUUUUUGUUUGUAAAUGGCAGCUAAUAUUCUACUACACUUUUAAUUCAAGAUUACUGAUGUAGAGGGACACUGUGAGACUUCGUCUGCUGAUCUCAUAUCUGGAAAAUUUAUCGAACUUACUUGUUCUAACAACUUGUCUUUUUCCUCAUACGCUUUCUAUGAAAAUAAUCCCAUUAUCUGCAAGUAAGGAUAUCCUAAUACCUCUUAUGUUUGUACUUGUAUCUUUGGGGGGUCAAAAUCUGCAGUAGCAUGUUGAGCAGUAACAGGCAUAGAAAACAUCCUUUUCUUGUGCAGACCAUAAUAAAAUGCAUAUAAAUAACGGAUCUUUAAGGAUUUUGUGUGCUAUAAGUUUUUAGCAAAAAUUAUUACCAAGUUAAAGUUCUUUUUAAAAAAUAUCCAUUGUUCUAAGAGUUCAUUUUUUUCCGCUUAAAAUCGUAACUAUUAAACUUCUGACCUAUUGACAUGAUGGUGCAAUGCUUCUCCUUUCCUAUAGAUUAAUGUAAAUUAAAUUGAUUGAAUUUGUAACAUUAAACCACUUCUGCAUUCCUGAGAUAAAGGUUACUCGCAGUGAUGUGUGAUUUUUAAUGCAAUGGUAUGAAAUUAGUUACUCUCUCUCUCUCUAUAUAUAUUUUUUUUAUUUUUUUAUUUUUAUUUUUUAUUUUUUUUAUUUUUUGAGAUGAAGUUUCGCUCUCGUUGCCCAGGCUGGAGUGCAGUGGCAAAAUCUUGGCUCACUUCAACCUCCGCCUCCCGGGUUCAAGCAAUUCUCCUGCCUCAGCCUCUCAAGUAGCUGGGAUUACAGGCAUGCACCAUCACACCCAGCUGAUUUUGUAUUUUUAGUAGAGACGGGGUUUCACCACGUUGUUCAAGCUGGUCUCA